rnacentral:rRNA from 1 species
UGAAGGACGUGCUAAUCUGCGAUAAGCGCCGGUAAGGUGAUAUGAACCGUUAUAACCGGCGAUUUCCGAAUGGGGAAACCCAGUGCAAUUCGUUGCACUAUCAUUACCUGAAUACAUAGGGUAAUGAAGCGAACCGGGAGAACUGAAACAUCUAAGUACCCCGAGGAAAAGAAAUCAAACGAGAUUCCCCCAGUAGCGGCGAGCGAACGGGGAGCAGCCCAGGACCUUAAUCAGCAUCAGUGUUAAGAGAACAGUCUGGAAAGGCUGGCCACAGCAGGUGAUAGCCCUGUAUCUGAAAGCACUGGUGUUGUGAGUCCGAUGAGUAAGGCGGGACACGUG